rnacentral:SRP_RNA from 1 species
GCUGGGCGUGGUGGCGGGCACCUGUAACCCCAGCUACUCGGGAGGCUGAGGCAGGAGAAUCGCUUGAACCCAGGAGGCAGAGGUUGCAGUGAGCCAAGAUUGCGCCACUGCACUCCAGCCUGGGUGACAGAGCGAGACUCUGUCUCAA